CCGAGGGUGGGGGCGGAUGACACGAAGGGGCACGAAGGUGGUUUGACAGGCGACGAAACCGCGUGGUGAAAGAAAUGGUCUGUAUUUUUUAGAUAGGUAUAGAAGAUUGAUCAAACACUUUGACUAGUGAAAGGUAAACUUUCCAAAACAAAUUGAUAUCGUAUCAAAAGAAUACCCAAUUAAUGGUCUGUCAACACGAUAAAUUAACAUGGAGAAGGAUACUUUGCAUGGCUUCUGAGGAGAAACGCUGAAAAUGUAUCUUGAUUAAUCCAGCUACUUACUUUCACAUAAGAAAUUAAACAGCAAUUUAUUGACCUUCCAAAACAGAAAAGAAAAGAAAAAAGAAAAAAGGAACCAGCUGUUGAUACAUACACUGGUCUCAAUCGUCCUCGAUCAGGUGCGGCCGGCGGACAUAUUACCACCACACACAGGAACUGAAGGGGAUAGAUACAUUAUAUAUUAACGUCGUCGUACGCGCCUUGGUCGUGCGUGAUAAUUAGUCGCUCAACUCGGUGGUUUUCUUGCCGCUGGCCCCGGGCUGGAAGGUGGAGGGGUUGACGGCCUUCUCGGCGGUCGACUCGGCGGCCCCGAGCGUGGCGCCGCCGGCAUCGGCGCCUGGCAUCGACAUCGCCUCGGCCACCGGCGCCACCGCCACGGCGGCGGCCAGCAGGAGGACGGCCAGGGCGAGCGCGCGAGACAUGGCGAUCUGCUAGCUAGUUAGCUCUCUGUGUCAAAUUGAUCUGGAGAUGAGAUGGUGGAUCGAGAGAGUCGGAGAUGGAGAGAGAGAGAGGAGGGGCGUGGAGUUGGGUUAUAUAUGCGCGGCCGGGAGAGGAGAAGGUGCGUACGCGCGCGGCGCCAGGAGUUUGUCUCCUUAAUUUGGUAAUAUGGCGAUCCCUUGCGUGGAGGGAGGGAUGAUGCUUGGACAGUGACGACGGAGACGGCGUGCGCACCGCGGGGCAGCAGGGGGGGCCUCCCGUCUAUUUCUAGAUCCUCUGCUGAAUUUUGUUUCUUCUACCCGCAUGAUAACACGUGCUCCCUUCAAUUCAUAUUAAUUGUCUCCCACAUAUUAUUCGUCUUGAAAAUGGCUUCUAACGGGUAGUGAUAAGAGGUGUCCCAAUCUUCUCCUUGAGCAUGU
rnacentral:lncRNA from 1 species